rnacentral:pre_miRNA from 12 species
UGCAUUUACAACGAAAAUCACUUUUCUAAGUACUAGUGCCGCAGGAGAUAGUUGCAUUCGCCGAAAUAAACCCCUGCUGCCCAAGUGCUUAUCAAAGAGAUUUUAUUGUCAACAUG